CACGGGGGGAGCAAGCGUUGUUCGGAAUCACUGGGCGUAAAGGGCGUGUAGGCGGUCAGGUAAGUGGGACGUGAAAUGCCUCGGCUCACCCGAGGAGCGGCGUCCCAUACUGCUUGGCUUGAGUACGGGAGAGGAUGUGGGAAUUCCUGGUGUAGCGGUGAAAUGCGUAGAUAUCGUAAGGAAGGCCGGUGGCGAAAGCGAGCCUCUGGACAGUUACUGACGCUGAUGCACGAAGGCCAGGGGAACAAACGGG
rnacentral:rRNA from 1 species